rnacentral:rRNA from 1 species
AUGGCCACCACCAAGAUGUGCAAGCGGCCGAGCGCUGCCUGGCUGUUCCUCUUCGUCGCGGAGCUGGGAUGGACAUGGGCAGUGAUCCCCUCUUCUUCCCCCGUGGGCCUCUCUGCCCGGCGCUACGACUCCAUCUUCAGCUUCGGCGACUCCUUCUCCGACACCGGCAACAACCCCGUCGUGUUCGCCGCCAGCUCCGUCUUCGACCCCGUCACGCGCCCGCCCUACGGCUCCACCUACUUCGGCCGCCCCACCGGCCGCAACUCCGACGGCCGCCUCAUCAUCGACUUCAUCGCUCAACGCCUCGGCCUGCCGCUCGUCCCGCCGUCCCUGGCGCACAACGGGAGCUUCCGCCGAGGCGCCAACUUCGCCGUCGGGAGUGCCACCGCUCUCGACGCCGCUUUCUUCCACGGUGGCAAGUUCCCUCUUAACGUCAGCUUGGGCGUACAGCUGCCGUGGUUCGAGUCGCUCAAGCCUUCUCUCUGCCGCACAACCAAAGAGUGCAAGGCCUUCUUCGGCAGAUCCCUCUUCUUUGUGGGCGAAUUCGGGGUCAACGACUACGACUUCUGUUUCCUCACCAAGAGCGUGCAAGAGAUCAUGCCGCUCGUUCCAGAUGUCAUCAGGACCAUCUCAACGGCCAUCUCAGACCGAUGGUACAUCCUUUACAAAUAG